AGAUCAAAGAAGUUGAGGCUGUGACAUCUGCUACCCCAUUGAUCACCAGGGUAAGUAAGACUCGGGGUGGGGGGUGUGUGGCUGGCUAGCCGGGAAUCUCAUCCUCCCUCUCCACUCCAUGGGCUUCUUCUGGAAGCUGCCCAUGGGUAGGAGAGGACAACCUUCCCCUACAGAGCCUGACCGUCCUGGGGUGCACGGUAUCCGAGUAGCUGCGUACCCCUGCUGGAGCCUCCAAGCAAGCUCUCAAGGUCCCUUUGUAGGAGAAGGUAGGGUAGCCAAGCUUCCAAGACUCCAGACACUUCCAAAUGAGGGGCGGCAUGUGGCAGUUUGCCUUUAUUA
rnacentral:snRNA from 1 species